ACUGAACGCUGGCGGCAUGCCUUACACAUGCAAGUCGAACGGUAACGCGGGGCAACCUGGCGACGAGUGGCGAACGGGUGAGUAAAGCAUCGGAACGUGCCCAGUAGUGGGGGAUAGCCCGGCGAAAGCCGGAUUAAUACCGCAUACGACCUACGGGUGAAAGCGGGGGACCGUAAGGCCUCGCGCUAUUGGAGCGGCCGAUGUCAGAUUAGGUAGUUGGUGGGGUAAAGGCCUACCAAGCCGACGAUCUGUAGCUGGUCUGAGAGGACGACCAGCCACACUGGGACUGAGACACGGCCCAGACUCCUACGGGAGGCAGCAGUGGGGAAUUUUGGACAAUGGGGGCAACCCUGAUCCAGCCAUGCCGCGUGCGGGAAGAAGGCCUUCGGGUUGUAAACCGCUUUUGUCAGGGAAGAAACGCGCUGAGCUAAUACCUCGGCGUAAUGACGGUACCUGAAGAAUAAGCACCGGCUAACUACGUGCCAGCAGCCGCAGUAA
rnacentral:rRNA from 1 species